rnacentral:rRNA from 1 species
ACGGGUGCGUAACGCGUGGGAAUCUGCCCUUAGGUUCGGAAUAACAGCUGGAAACGGCUGCUAAUACCGGAUGAUAUCGCGAGAUCAAAGAUUUAUCGCCUGAGGAUGAGCCCGCGUUGGAUUAGGUAGUUGGUGGGGUAAAGGCCUACCAAGCCGACGAUCCAUAGCUGGUCUGAGAGGAUGAUCAGCCACACUGGGACUGAGACACGGCCCAGACUCCUACGGGAGGCAGCAGUGGGGAAUAUUGGACAAUGGGCGCAAGCCUGAUCCAGCAAUGCCGCGUGAGUGAUGAAGGCCCUAGGGUUGUAAAGCUCUUUUACCCGGGAAGAUAAUGACUGUACCGGGAGAAUAAGCCCCGGCUAACUCCGUGCCAGCAGCCGCGGUAAUACGGAGGGGGCUAGCGUUGUUCGGAAUUACUGGGCGUAAAGCGCACGUAGGCGGCUUUGUAAGUCAGAGGUGAAAGCCUGGAGCUCAACUCCAGAACUGCCUUUGAGACUGCAUCGCUUGAAUCCAGGAGAGGUCAGUGGAAUUCCGAGUGUAGAGGUG